rnacentral:rRNA from 1 species
UACGAAGGGGGCUAGCUGUUGCUACGGAAUCACUGGGCGUGAAAGCUGCACGUAGGCGGCUUUUUAAGUCAGAGGUGAAAUCCGUGGAGCUCAACUCCAGAACUGCCUUUGAUACGUGGAGGAGCUUGAGUCCGGGAGAGGUGAGGUAGGAACUGCGAGUGUAGAGGUGAAAUUCGUAGAUAUUCGCAAGAACACCAGUGGCGAAGGCGGCUCACUGGCCCGGUACUGGACGCUGAGAAGGCGAAAGCAUGGGGAGCGAACAGG